GUGCGCCGUGUGCGUCGAAAGGCGCCCGCACGGUGUGGGCUGGGGGAAAAGUCCGAGAUGAUUUCAUCGGAGACUUACCUAUCAGCAU
rnacentral:ncRNA from 1 species